UACGGGGGGGGCAAGCGUUGUUCGGAAUUACUGGGCGUAAAGGGCUCGUAGGCGGCCAACUAAGUCCGACGUGAAAUCCCAAGGCUUAACCUUGGAACUGCGUCGGAUACUGGAUGGCUUGAAUUCGGGAGAGGAUGCAGAAUUCCAGGUGUAGCGGUGAAAUGCGUAGAUAUCUGGAGGAACACCGGUGGCGAAGGCGACAUCCUGGACCGGUAUUGACGCUGAGGCGCGAAAAGCCAGGGGGAGCAAACGGG
rnacentral:rRNA from 1 species